GGGGAUGUAGCUCAGCGGUAGAGCGCUUGCUUUGCAUGUAAGAGGCCCCGGGUUCGAACCCCGGCAUCUCCA
rnacentral:tRNA from 1 species